rnacentral:rRNA from 1 species
GACGAACGCUGGCGGCGUGCCUAAUACAUGCAAGUAGAACGCACAGUUUAUACCGUAGCUUGCUACACCAUAGACUGUGAGUUGCGAACGGGUGAGUAACGCGUAGGUAACCUGCCUGGUAGCGGGGGAUAACUAUUGGAAACGAUAGCUAAUACCGCAUAAUAUUGAUUAUUGCAUGAUAAUUGAUUGAAAGAUGCUAUUGCAUCACUACCAGAUGGACCUGCGUUGUAUUAGCUAGUAGGUGAGGUAACGGCUCACCUAGGCGACGAUACAUAGCCGACCUGAGAGGGUGAUCGGCCACACUGGGACUGAGACACGGCCCAGACUCCUACGGGGGGCAGCAGUAGGGAAUCUUCGGCAAUGGACGAAAGUCUGACCGAGCAACGCCGCGUGAGUGAAGAAGGUUUUCGGAUCGUAAAGCUCUGUUGUAAGAGAAGAACGGGUGUGAGAGUGGAAAGUUCACACUGUGACGGUAUCUUACCAGAAAGGGACGGCUAACUACGUG